rnacentral:rRNA from 1 species
UACGAAGGGGGCUAGCGUUGUUCGGAAUUACUGGGCGUAAAGGGCGCGUAGGCGGUGUGUCAAGUCAGGCGUGAAAGCCCCGGGCUCAACCUGGGAACCGCAUUUGUGACUGCAUAGCUGGAGUACGGCAGAGGGGGAUGGAAUUCCGCGUGUAGCAGUGAAAUGCGUAGAUAUGCGGAGGAACACCGAUGGCGAAGGCAGUCCCCUGGGCCUGUACUGACGCUCAUGCACGAAAGCGUGGGGAGCAAACAGG